rnacentral:rRNA from 1 species
GACGAACCGUGCGAACGUUGUUCGGAUUCACUGGGCUUAAAGGGCGCGUAGGCGGGCUAUCAAGUCAGGGGUGAAAUCUUUCGGCUCAACCGGAAAAGUGCCCCUGAUACUGGUAGUCUUGAGGGAGGUAGGGGCAUGUGGAACUUCCGGUGGAGCGGUGAAAUGCGUAGAUAUCGGAAGGAACGCCGGUGGCGAAAGCGACGUGCUGGAUCUCUUCUGACGCUGAGGCGCGAAAGCUAGGGGAGCGAACGGG